rnacentral:lncRNA from 1 species
GUCCCAGCAAAAGCAGUUUCAGGGCUGAAUUCAGUCGGGUUUCACAUCUUUUUCUUUUGCGGAGGUGAUACUACAUUGCCAGCUACGCUUUUUUACCAUAUGCAACACCAACACACUGGCAGUUAACAAGCUACAACACAGAACCACUUGGCAACACAGAGAAAAUGGGCAGAAAAUCCCCAAGCAAGAGGGAAGAGGGGAAAAAAAUGCGAUGAAUUGACUGCAUUAAGCAUGCAAGAGAGAACUGUAAAGGAGAGCCUGCCAGGGAGCAAAGGUGCCCUCCCAGGCUUGUGCACAGCACCAAGUAGGGAACUUCAGCAGGGGAAGCAGCCACUGCUAGACCAUCAGCGAGAUGAAGCACCUGAAUACUUUCUGGAGAGCAACAGAGGGAGAAGAGAGUGAUCUCACUACUCCAAUCACAUUGCAUUGUUAUAUACCUUGGAAACAGAAAAGCAGGAAGAAGUGAUGGAAUCUUAAUCUUUUACAGUACCUUACACCAGCAA